GCUCUUGUAGCUCAGUUGGUUAGAGCGUUGUGCUUAUAACGCAAAGGUCGCGAGUUCGAUCCUCGCCUAGAGCA
rnacentral:tRNA from 1 species